GAAAUGCGAUAAGUAAUGUGAAUUGCAGAAUUCAGUGAAUCAUCGAAUCUUUGAACGCACAUUGCGCCCGCCAGUAUUCUGGCGGGCAUGCCUGUUCGAGCGUCAUUUCAACCAUCAAGCCCCCGGCUUGUGUUGGGGACCUGCGGCUGCCCGCAGGCCCUGAAAAACAGUGGCGGGCUCGCUGUCACACCGAGCGUAGUAGCAUACAUUCUCGCUCAGGGCGUGCUGCGGGUUCCGGCCGUUAGACGACCUUCAUAACCCAAGGUUGACCUCGGAUCAGGUAGGAAGACCCGCUGAACUUAAGC
rnacentral:misc_RNA from 1 species